UUCAUUUUGCUCAUCUCUAUAUUUUAGGUGUUUAUCCGCAGUGGUUGCUUUUGAUGAUUACUUGAAAAUUUGUUUCAACGGAAAGUGAUAAUGAUAACCUGCGUUGUUGUUCUUCUUUUCCUUAACUUAUUCCAAGCCGAAUUGUUGUCCGCGCCUUCUGAAAGCUUACAGUCACUCAAGAACAUUUCAUUAGAACUAUUGGAACCCAAUGAAGACGCUUUUGAAGUAGUUGAUGAACGGAUCAAAGAUGAGCAAAACAUUAUUAGGAGUAUCAAAAACAAGAUUCCGCAGUAUAUACCGCCUCAGCGCUGCAGCAAUAUUCAAGUCAUAUUCAAGAUCUGCCAAAUUUUAGAAGUGGAUGAAAAAGCUGGCCUUUGGGUUGCAAGGAUUAACACUAGCGCCAGCUACUUCCGCGAUGGAGGUGUUCUAUGGGACAUCAGAGCGACGUCUGGUUAUAUUGCAUCUAUCACUCUUCCGGUUGGAAUUACAUGGUUUCCUUCUCUCGCUAUCGAGAAUGUUGUUGACUCUAGAUUCCAACUCACAGGGUCACACCAGCUGGUAUUAGCCAGCGGCUGGGUCGCGUUAGCCUAUGACUCAUUCACUCCACGGAUGUCUUGUUCGUUUGACGUGUCAAAGUUUCCAUUUGAUGAGCAAUGGUGCAAUAUAACUAUUGUAUCGGAACCAUUGGGCGUUUAUGUCAGCUUAUACAACA